rnacentral:rRNA from 1 species
AUGUGGCAACGCCGAUGGACUGGGAACCCUGUGUGUUCCUUUUGCCAAAAGAUCGAGACAUCCCAGCAUUUAUUCUUUGGAUGCCCUGUCGCUAAGGUUAUAUGGCGAUCAAUUGGGGUUACUCUUGGGACUGACUUAUGUCCUCGAAAUUAUUGGCAAUUCUUUACUUGGUGUUACUCUUUUCUGCCAGGAUAUUAAUCCUUCUAUACUGUGGCGCUGGGUGCUGUUACUUGGGCCAUCUGGCUAGCCCGGAACAGGGCCACCUUUGAGAAAAGAAUAAAAACCCCCUUUGAGAUAGUUUUUACGGCAGUUUCUUUUCUUUUGUACUGGGCAGGUCUGCAGACUGAAGAAAACAUGAAGAGGCUUCGCGCUGGAGCAUAG